rnacentral:rRNA from 1 species
GAGGAAGUAAAAGUCGUAACAAGGUCUCCGUUGGUGAACCAGCGGAG